rnacentral:rRNA from 1 species
UCGAGGGGCAGCGGGGGCGGAAGCUUGCUUUCGCCCGCCGGCGACCGGCGCACGGGUGAGUAACACGUAUGCAACCUGGCCGCCACAGGGGGAUAACCCGCGGAAACGCGGCCUAAUACCCCGUGACGCCACCGGAGGGCAUCCUCCGGUGGCCAAAGGAGCGAUCCGGUGGCGGAUGGGCAUGCGGCGCAUUAGCUAGACGGCGGGGUGACGGCCCACCGUGGCGACGAUGCGUAGGGGUUCUGAGAGGAAGGCCCCCCACACUGGGACUGAGACACGGCCCAGACUCCUACGGGAGGCAGCAGUGAGGAAUAUUGGUCAAUGGGCGGAAGCCUGAACCAGCCAAGUCGCGUGAGGGAUUAAGGCCCUGCGGGUCGUAAACCUCUUUUGCCGGGGAGCAGUGGUCCGGACGCGUCCGGGCCGGGAGAGUACCCGGAGAAAAAGCAUCGGCUAACUCCGUGCCAGCAGCCGCGGUAAUACGGAGGAUGCGAGCGUUAUCCGGAUUUAUUGGGUUUAAAGGGUGCGUAGGCGGGCAUUUAAGCCGGCGGUCAAAUGUCGGGGCUCAACCCCGGCCUGCCGUCGGAACUGGGUGCCUUGAGUGGGCGAGAAGUAUGCGGAAUGCGUGGUGUAGCGGUGAAAUGCAUAGAUAUCACGCAGAACCCCGAUUGCGAAGGCAGCAUACCGGCGCCCUACUGACGCUGAGGCACGAAAGUGCGGGUAUCGAACAGGAUUAGAUACCCUGGUAGUCCGCACAGUAAAACGAUGGAUGCUAUCUGUCCGGGCCGAAUGAGGCCUGGGUGGCAC